UCGGGAAUUUUGGGCAAUGGGCGAAAGCCUGACCCAGCAACGCCGCGUGAAGGAUGAAGUAUUUCGGUAUGUAAACUUCGAAAGAAUGGGAAGAAUAAAUGACGGUACUAUUUAUAAGGUCCGGCUAACUACGUGCCAGCAGCCGCGGUAAUACGUAGGGACCAAGCGUUGUUCGGAUUUACUGGGCGUAAAGGGCGCGUAGGCGGCAAUUCAAGUCAUCUGUGAAAUCUCCGGGCUUAACUCGGAACGGUCAGAUGAUACUGCUUUGCUAGAGUGCAGAAGGGGCAAUCGGAAUUCUUGGUGUAGCGGUGAAAUGCGUAGAUAUCAAGAGGAACACCUGAGGUGAAGACGGGUUGCUGGGCUGACACUGACGCUGAGGCGCGAAAGCCAGGGGAGCAAACGGGAUUAGAUACCCACGUAGUCCCUGAGCGGGCUGGCAAGGCGCAU
rnacentral:rRNA from 1 species